GGCGGGUUAGCUCAGUGGGAGAGCGGGUGCCUUACACGCACUUGGUCGGGGGUUCAAAUCCCUCAUCCGUCA
rnacentral:tRNA from 1 species